rnacentral:tRNA from 1 species
AUUUAAAUAUUUUAAUUAAAAAUUAAGAUUUGUGGUAUCUUAGAUAGGACUAAUCCCUUUUAAAUU